AAUCAACGCUGGCGGCGUGCCUAACACAUGCAAGUCGAACGAAGGCUUCGGCCUUAGUGGCGCACGGGUGCGUAACGCGUGGGAAUCUGCCCUUGGGUUCGGGAUAACAGUGAGAAAUUACUGCUAAUACCGGAUGAUGACUUCGGUCCAAAGAUUUAUCGCCCAGGGAUGAGCCCGCGUAGGAUUAGCUAGUUGGUGGGGUAAAGGCCUACCAAGGCGACGAUCCUUAGCUGGUCUGAGAGGAUGAUCAGCCACACUGGGACUGAGACACGGCCCAGACUCCUACAGGAGGCAGCAGUGGGGAAUAUUGGACAAUGGGCGAAAGCCUGAUCCAGCAAUGCCGCGUGAGUGAUGAAGGCCUUAGGGUUGUAAAGCUCUUUUACCCGGGAAGAUAAUGACUGUACCGGGAGAAUAAGCUCCGGCUAACUCCGUGCCAGCCGCCGCGGUAA
rnacentral:rRNA from 1 species